rnacentral:tRNA from 1 species
GGGGAUUCAGCUCAGCGGCAUAAGCGCCUGCCUUGAAAGCAGGCAGUCGUGAGUUCAAUCCCCA